rnacentral:rRNA from 1 species
UUGCCUCGGCGCAGGCCGUCCCCCMUGGGRUCCCUUGGAGACAAGGAGCAGCCGGCCGGUGGCCAAAUCAACUCUGUUUUUACACUGUAACUCUGAGUACAAAACAUAAAUGAAUCAAAACUUUCAACAACGGAUCUCUUGGUUCUGGCAUCGAUGAAGAACGCAGCGAAAUGCGAUAAGUAAUGUGAAUUGCAGAAUUCAGUGAAUCAUCGAAUCUUUGAACGCACAUUGCGCCCUCUGGUAUUCCGGAGGGCAUGCCUGUUCGAGSGUCAUUUCAACCCUCAAGCCUGGCUUGGUGUUGGGGCACUGCCUGUAAAAGGGCAGGCCCUGAAAUAUAGUGSYGAACUCGCCAGGACUCCGAGCGUAGUAGUUAAACCCUCGCUCUGGAAGGCCUGGCGGUGCCCUGCCGU